CCCUACGGGACGCAGCAGUGAGGAAUAUUGGUCAAUGGUCGGGAGACUGAACCAGCCAAGCCGCGUGAGGGAGGAAGGUACAGAGUAUCGUAAGCCUCUUUUGUCAGGGAACAAAGGCGGGGACGUGUCCCCGGAUGAGUGUACCUGAAGAAAAAGCAUCGGCUAACUCCGUGCCAGCAGCCGCGGUAAUACGGAGGACGCGAGCGUUAUCCGGAUUUAUUGGGUUUAAAGGGUGCGCAGGCGGUCUGUUAAGUCAGCGGUCAAAGCCCGGGGCUCAACCCCGGCCCGCCGUUGAAACUGGCCGU
rnacentral:rRNA from 1 species